CCGCUUGUAGCUCAACUGAAUAGCGUAUCUGGCUACGAACCAGAAGGCUGCAGGUUUGAAUCCUGCCAAGCGGA
rnacentral:tRNA from 1 species